GCAGGGACAAGGGUUCUUCUACAUGCACCAAUACAGCCACGUGUUGGAAUCCCGCGGCGAGCUGCUCUGGGUAUCGAUCGCCGGCAAUGGUGUCACUUCUCAGUGCGGGGCUCCUUGUCCCUAUGUGUUCGUGUACACGCUGGAGCAGGAGGAAUCAACGCCGGAGAAGAUGCGGUGGGUGAGGAAAGACGGACGUAGCCUUGCUGACCGUGUGCUGUUCCUAGGGUCACCCAAUAGCUUCGCCGUUGACGCCUCAUGGCCACGGCGGGCGUGCGUACUUCGUCUACCACAACAAUAAGAAUGCCUUGCCGCAGGAGAAGUUUGGUGCAUUUGAGUACAACUUCAUUGAAGGGAAGGCUGAGUUUGUCGAGCGGUUGCCACCAGGAUGGGAUGGCAAGAAGUGUACAUGGCUCGUCCCCCAGCCAGCCAUUGCGCCACUUCAGGAGAUCACUAAGAGGUCACUGAUGGCUCAAGAAGUGAAGCAGCAGCAAGCCGCUAUCAUGGUGAGAUAUUACGAACCUAGUUUCACGGUGUUGGUGCGCAACUUGCCCCUUGGAGUGAACAGCUCUCAGCUGCAACUCUUCUUCAGUAACCACGGCAAAGUGUCCCAUGCCAAACUGAUCUACUACAACAAGACAAAGACCAUAGAGGUUGCCGGCAUCUUAACUAUAACGAUGGUGCAUGCCCACCAAGAAGAAGCUCUAGGCGCUCUCAGCGGACUGUCUUUGGAUGGAUGCAGCCUCGAGGUUAGCUUGGUCAAGGAGGAGCAACGACGGCGGAGACAUGGCCGUCCACUUCGUUGAAGCCAUAUGAAAAUUCUUCGUUAAGAACUCAAAUUUGCAUAGACUCCUGGUAGAUUUGUCUCAAACAUUGAUUAUGUAUUGCAAAACAAAAAUAGAAGAAACAAAAUAAGAGUUCUUCAUUUUAAAAUAAAAUAAGAGCUUUUUUAG